GACACCCAAGGAAGAAACGAUGCUUCUGCCUGCUAUAUCUUCAUUGAUAAAAAGGGACUCGGGACUGAAUGUCUGUAGGGCACUGUAAAACUCCUCACUUAACAUCAUUGUGUUUAAAAGAUUGUAAUUUUGAGCUUUCCAGGUAUUACUACCAAGAUUCAUGAGAACUCUGCAAGGUUGCCUUCAUUUUAUGAGCAAAGAAACCAAGAUUCAGAGAAUUGAAGCAACUUUCUCAAGGACACCCAACAAGUAGGUGAUAAAAGCACAACAUGAGUCCAAGUGCAGGUAAUGUUAAGGCAUUAAUGAUCACUCAUGGAACUUAAACAUUGGGUACAGUGAGAAAAACAGGAAGAGGCUAGGCUUCAUGAAGUUCAUAAUCUGAAAGAAGUAAUAGGGUAAAUGAACCAAGUUAUUUAUAACAAUUUUUUAAAACAAUGACUUAUGUAUAAGUUCAUAAAGUUUAUAAAGGGUCUAAGAUUACUGGGGACGCUUACUAGGAACAGAGUUAAGAAGACAUCCUGAAAUCGACUCUUCUCUUGGAGUUGAAAUUUUUUGUAAGGGACAUAGUUCUGAAGACGAGAGUAGGGAGGGCAGAAUAAAAAGCAGAUAUUCUUGGAUUUAUCCCUCAAACUUAUGAAUCCUUCUGUUCAUAAUGU